UCUAUAGACUUAAAUUUUCAUGAAUUCAGAAUAAUUCUCUGUACGAUUACGAUUCUUCGUCUCUUUGUAUAUCGUACUUGUAUUUUAUUGACUAUUUGUCAUUUUGCUAGAGACUGUUCACAAAGUUUAUUUCACAUCUGCCAAAUUCAGACGAACACACCCCUUCUUUUGCCUCCUCUUUCAACAAACUAACAGCAAAUUUAUCAACAAACUGUCACCGAGACGAGUGUGAAAAUCGCGACAUGAAGAAAAAUGGAAAUAGAAACUAAGAUAAAAAUAAAAAUAACAGAAAAAUGAAAAACUACAAAAGCCAUAAAGACUUUGGAAUUUUCACCAGGUAGAGAGAUGACCCAUUGAUGUUCAGUUGAUGCUGCGCCGCCGCCUUCCUCCUCCACACCCCGCCGACACCCCUCGGAAAUUGCGGUCAGCCAGUGGGCGUUUUAAGCAACUUGCUUUUGGUAGCAACUAAAUCGAAAGCCGUCCCGUCAAGCAGUCAGUCAAUCAGAGGAGCUUUUGAUUUGACAGUGCGUUGGGGAGAGAAAAUAAAAUGAGAUUUGAAAAAAAAAUCAUAAUUUUCAUUGCCAUCAGUCUUCACAUACUGGCAAUUGGCUGUUUAGGAAAAAAAAAACUGGGUUAACAUUUAUUGUUUAUGUUGUUUACUUGUGUUGAUUUCGGUGUAGUCUUUUGCACAUUUUGUGUGCGCUUCUUUGUUCAUUGUUUAUUUUGGUUUUGCCGUGAAUGUGAGUCAGGUUGGAGAGAGGGAUUGUUUUUUAUUUGUAACCACACAAACCGUUAGAAAACCUAGAAGAAGAAGCAAGAAACGUGCGUCUAAUGAAUGAUGAGAUCCCUUGUGAACAAAUGGGCAAAAGUAGCAAGCUUAAGAAACCAGGUCAAAAUUGCAUGAGAAUAAGAAGAAAGUACGUGAGUUUUCUGUAGCCUAGAUUUUACUGGAAAUUCGAGAUGCGAAAGAAAGUUAAUCAUACAAAUAGUAAGAGUUUCUGUGUCAGAAACAGCAUCAGAGGUGAAAAGCACAAUCUAUAGGAAAAGGUUAUUCGCUCACUUUUUGCACAUAUGCUUUUGGGGUCAAUAUUGCUGACUGAAAUUCAAUUGGGCAAAUCGUGGCUAAUCAUGUGAGCUGCCUAUCACUUUAGAAAGGUUUUUCAUCACGCAUGUGGAAAGCAAAGCAGAAAAAAUCUUUUGGAUUGUAAGCAUAAAUAUCAUUUGGAAAGCAAUCAAUAAACUAAAACAAAUGAAAGUCGAAAAGUUGAGAGUGCAACACAAAACAAGGAAAAGAACGCAACAAAAAAACACAAAAGCCGCAAAAGUCAAUGAACUUGUUCAAGAAAGUCGACGUCGCAAAACACGUUCCAGAGAAAAAGAAUGUUUUUUAACGGGAAUAAACAAUCUAAAAGGCAAAAAUUGCCAUUUAUGGAUGUCAUAUGUUUAGCAUGUAAACAACAACUAAAGAAGAAGAUGAAGAAGAAUCGCUUGCGGGGUAAGUUUCCAGCAGAGAAAUAACAAUAGCUAAAGCCAGAUGUGCACUUGGAAUAUAAAUUAAGAAACCAACCUCAAGCAUAAGUAUUUUUGUAGCUUUAUUUACUUGGCAUAUUUUUAGUACAUAUUAUUC